AUUGAACGCUGGCGGCAGGCCUAACACAUGCAAGUCGAACGCGUGGCGGACGGGUGAGUAAUGUCUGGGACACUGCCUGAUGGAGGGGGAUAACUACUGGAAACGGUAGCUAAUACCGCAUACCAUCAGAUGUGCCCAGAUGGGAUUAGCUUGUUGGUGGGGUAACGGCUCACCAAGGCGACGAUCCCUAGCUGGUCUGAGAGGAUGACAAGCCACACUGGAACGGAGACACGGUCCAGACUCCUACGGGAGGCAGCAGAGGGGAAUAGUGCACAAGGGGCGCAAGCCUAAUGCAGCCAUGCCGCGUGUAUGAAGAAGGCCUGCGGGUUGUAAAGUAAUUUCAGCGGGGAGGCGUUACCAGAAGAAGAAGCACCGGCUAACUCCGUGCCAGCAGCCGCGGUAAUUC
rnacentral:rRNA from 1 species